rnacentral:rRNA from 1 species
UUCCAAGCUACGAAGAGCCAACGGUGGAUGCCUAGGUGCCUACGACCGAUGAAGGACGUGAGAGGCUGCGAUAAGCCUCGGGGAGCUGCCGACUGAGCUUUGAUCCGGGGAUGUCCGAAUGGGGAAACCUGAUACCUGUAAAGGGGUAUCACUCCGGUGUGAACACAUAGCGCCGGUAGAGGGAACCAGGUGAACUGAAACAUCUAAGUAACCUGUAGGAAAGGAAAGCAACCGCGACUCCCUUAGUAGCGGCGAGCGAAAAGGGAAGAGCCUAAACCGUGCCGGUGGAAUAGCCUGGUGGCGUUGCCGGUCCGGUGUUGUGGGGCCUCAGAGGAGGAGCGCCAGAUCCUCCACGAAGUUACAAACGUGCGUGGUAGUGGAAUCGUUCUGGAAAGGCGAGCCGCAGGGGGUAAGAGCCCCGUACACGAAACUGCUGCACACUUCGCUGAGUGUCCCCGAGUAGCGCCGUUGCCGUGUAAUUCGGCGUGAAUCUGCGAGGACCACCUCGUAAGGCUAAGUAUAUGUAGGCAACCGAUAGUGAACUAGUACCGUGAGGGAAAGGUGAAAAGUACCCCGGGAGGGGAGUGAAAUAGUACCUGAAACCGUUGGUUUACAAGCAGUCAGAGCGUCGUCUCAACCGAUGAUCUUCGGAUCGUCAAUCUGAGAUCGCGAUGGCGUGCCUUUUGAAGAAUGAGCCAACGAGUUACGGUAUGUGGCGAGAUUAACCUGUGAAGGGAAGUCGGAGCGAAAGCGAGUCAUAACUGGGCGUACAGUCGCAUGCCGUAGACCCGAAGCCGGGUGAUCUAUCCAUGGGCAGUGUGAAGCGGGGGUAAGACUCCGUGGAGGCGCGAACCGACCUAGGUUGAAAACUGGGCGGAUGACCUGUGGAUAGGGGUGAAAGGCCAAUCAAACACGGUGAUAUCUGGUUCUCCCCGAAAUGCAUUUUGGUGCAGCGUCGCACGUUCAGCCAUGGAGGUAGAGCACUGAUUGGGCUAGGGGGCCCACAAGCUUACCGACCCCAGUCAAACUCCGAAUGCCAUGGCUCCAGAGUGCGGCAGUGAGUCCACGGGGGAUGAGCUUCGUUGGACGAGAGGGAAACAGCCCAGAGCGCCGGCUAAGGCCCCUAAGUGUGUAUUAAGUGGCAAACGAUGUGGGAUUGCCCAGACAGCCAGGAGGUUGGCUUAGAAGCAGCCACCCUUGAAAGAGUGCGUAACAGCUCACUGGUCGAGUGAUCCUGCGCGGACAAUGUAACGGGGCUAAAGCUAGAAACCGAAGUUGCGGAUUUCUGCCAUUAGGCAGGAGUGGUAGCGGAGCGUCGGGCUUGGAGUGAAGCGGCAGCGCAAGCUGACGUGGACCGAGUCCGAGUGAGAAUGUUGGUAUGAGUAGCGAGAGAGGGGUGAGAAACCUUUCCGCCGAAAGCCCAAGGGUUCCUGGGGAAGGCUAAUCCUCCCAGGGUGAGUCGGGAGCUAAGGCGAGGCCGACAGGCGUAGUCGAUGCACAACCGGUUGAUAUUCCGGUACCGCUGUGAACGCGUCCAGGCUUAACCGGUGUUGCUAAGGGGAUGUCUGCCCCGCAAAGGGGCAGAAGAAACCGACCCACACCGGAGCGGCCAGCAACGCGGGGACGCAGAGAGGUAGGUGAACCCAGGCGACGGUAGUUCCUGGGGUAAGCGUGUAGGGCGGGGCCUAGGUAAGUCCGGUCUCCAUAAAGCCUGAGGCGUGAUACCGAACCGCAUGAGGUGAAGUCACUGAUCCUGUACUGCCAAGAAAAGCCGCUAGCGAGCUUUCACAGCGCCCGUACCCCAAACCAACACAGGUGGGCAGGUAGAGAAUACCAAGGCGAUUGGGAGAACUAUGGUUAAGGAACUCGGCAAAUUACAUCCGUAACUUUGGGAUAAGGAUGACCCUAGUAAAGUGAAGGACUUCGCGUCUGGAGCUUGAUCGGGUGGCACAAACCAGGGGAAAGCGACUGUUUACUAAAAACACAGCAGCGUGCGAAGUCGUAAGACGCUGUAUACGCUGUGACGCCUGCCCGGUGCUGGAAGGUUACGGGGAGGGGUUAGCCGUAAGGCGAAGCUCUGAACCUAAGCCCCAGUAAACGGCGGCCGUAACUAUAACGGUCCUAAGGUAGCGAAAUUCCUUGUCGGGU